rnacentral:rRNA from 1 species
AGCGAACGCUGGCGGCAUGCUUAACACAUGCAAGUCGCACGGUAUGGGGGAGACCCUGUGCAGUGGCGGACGGGUGAGGAGCGCGUAGGAAUCUGUCCCUGGAUGGGGGAUAACCACGGGAAACUGUGGCUAAUACCGCAUGAGGCCUGAGGGCCAAAGGCUGCGAGGCCGUCUGGGGGUGAGCCUGCGUCCGAUUAGCUAGUUGGUGGGGUAAAGGCCUACCAAGGCUGCGAUCGGUAGCUGGUCUGAGAGGAUGAUCAGCCACACUGGGAUUGAGAUACGGCCCAGACUCCUACGGGAGGCAGCAGUCGAGAAUAGUCUACAAUGGUCGGAAGACUGGUAGUGCGACGCCGCGUGAACGAUGAAUCCCUUCGGGUGUAAAGUUCUUUUAUAUGUGAGCAGUGCUUCUUAUAUUAACAGUAUGGGGAGAGAGAUAUUAGCAUAUGAAUAAGCAACGGCUAACUCCGUGCC